rnacentral:rRNA from 1 species
UACGUAGGGUCCGAGCGUUGUCCGGAUUUACUGGGCGUAAAGGGCGCGCAGGCGGCCACCGCAAGUCGACUGUGAAAUCUCCGGGCUUAACCCGGAAAGGUCAGCCGAUACUGCGGGGCUAGAGUGCAGAAGGGGCAACUGGAAUUCUCGGUGUAGCGGUGAAAUGCGUAGAUAUCGAGAGGACCACCUGCGGCGAAGGCGGGUAGCUGGGCCAACACUGACGCUGACAGCGCGAAAGCUAGGGGAGCGAACGGG